ACAGAGAGCUUGCUCUUAUGGGUGGCGAGUGGCGGACGGGUGAGGAAUACAUCGGAAUCUACUUUUUCGUGGGGGAUAACGUAGGGAAACUUACGCUAAUACCGCAUACGACCUACGGGUGAAAGCAGGGGAUCUUCGGACCUUGCGCGAUUGAAUGAGCCGAUGUCGGAUUAGCUAGUUGGCGGGGUAAAGGCCCACCAAGGCGACGAUCCGUAGCUGGUCUGAGAGGAUGAUCAGCCACACUGGAACUGAGACACGGUCCAGACUCCUACGGGAGGCAGCAGUGGGGAAUAUUGGACAAUGGGCGCAAGCCUGAUCCAGCCAUACCGCGUGGGUGAAGAAGGCCUUCGGGUUGUAAAGCCCUUUUGUUGGGAAAGAAAUCCAGCCGGUUAAUACCUGGUUGGGAUGACGGUACCCAAAGAAUAAGCACCGGCUAACUUCGUGCCAGCAGCCGCGGUAAUACGAAGGGUGCAAGCGUUACUCGGAAUUACUGGGCGUAAAGCGUGCGUAGGUGGUUGUUUAAGUCUGUUGUGAAAGCCCUGGGCUCAACCUGGGAACUGCAGUGGAAACUGGACAACUAGAGUGUGGUAGAGGGUAGCGGAAUUCCCGGUGUAGCAUGAAAUGCGUAAGAUCGGGAGGAACAUCCAUGGCGAAGGCAGCUACCGGACCAACACUGACACUGAGGCACGAAAGCGUGGGGAGCAAACAGAUAGAUACCCUGUAGUCCACGCCCUA
rnacentral:rRNA from 1 species